GUGUUCACUUCGGCAGCACAUAGACCACAAUUGGAAUGAUGCGGGGAAGAUCAGCAAGGCCCCUGCACGAGGAUGCCAUGCCAACUCAUGAGGCGUCCCAUAUUUUU